GAACCUACGGGAGGCAGCAGUGAGGAAUAUUGGUCAAUGGCCGAGAGGCUGAACCAGCCAAGUCGCGUGAGGGAUGACGGCCCUACGGGUUGUAAACCUCUUUUGUCGGGGAGCAAGACCCGCCACGAGUGGCGGAGCGAGAGUACCCGAAGAAAAAGCAUCGGCUAACUCCGUGCCAGCAGCCGCGGUAAUACGGAGGAUGCGAGCGUUAUCCGGAUUUAUUGGGUUUAAAGGGUGCGCAGGCGGACCAUCAAGUCAGCGGUAAAAUUGCGGGGCUCAACCCCGUCGAGCCGUUGAAACUGGCA
rnacentral:rRNA from 1 species